rnacentral:rRNA from 1 species
UACGUAGGGGGCAAGCGUUGUCCGGAAUCAUUGGGCGUAAAGAGCGCGUAGGCGGUCCGGUAAGUCCGCUGUGAAAGUCAAGGGCUCAACCCUUGAAUGCCGGUGGAUACUGUCGGGCUAGAGUCCGGAAGAGGCGAGUGGAAUUCCUGGUGUAGCGGUGAAAUGCGCAGAUAUCAGGAGGGAACACCAAUAGCGAAGGCAGCUCGCUGGGACGUUACUGACACUGAGGCGCGAAAGCGUGGGGAGCGAACAGG